rnacentral:rRNA from 1 species
UCGUACGCGAAAGGGGAGCAAUCCCUGAGUAGAGUGGCAAACGGGUGAGUAACACGUGGGUGACCUGCCUCAGAGUGGGGGAUAACGUCCCGAAAGGGACGCUAAUACCGCAUAACAUCCUGCCUUUGGAAAGGCGGAGAUCAAAGCCGGGGAUCGCAAGACCUGGCGCUUGGAGAGGGGCCCGCGUCUGAUUAGCUAGUUGGUAGGGUAAUGGCCUACCAAGGCGACGAUCAGUAUCCGGCCUGAGAGGGCGGACGGACACACUGGGACUGAGACACGGCCCAGACUCCUACGGGAGGCAGCAGUGGGGAAUUGUUCGCAAUGGGCGCAAGCCUGACGACGCAACGCCGCGUGGAGGAUGAAGAUCUUCGGGUCGUAAACUCCUGUCGAGCGGGACGAACACUUAGCCGGCUAACAUCCGGCUAGGCUGACGGUACCGCUAAAGGAAGCCCCAGCUAACUCCGUGCCAGCAGCCGCGGUAAUACGGGGGGGGGCAAGCGUUG